rnacentral:rRNA from 1 species
GCAUGUGCACGCUCUGUUCACACAUCCACUCACACCUGUGCACCCUCUGUAGUUCUAUGGUCUGGGGGACGCAUGUCCUCCUCCUGUAGUUCUACGUCUUUACACAUACACCGUAGUGGAGUCUUAUGGAAGUGCAUCGCGUUUAACGCAAUAAAAUACAACUUUCAGCAACGGAUCUCUUGGCUCUCGCAUCGAUGAAGAACGCAGCGAAAUGCGAUAAGUAAUGUGAAUUGCAGAAUUCAGUGAAUCAUCGAAUCUUUGAACGCACCUUGCGCCCCUUGGCUAUUCCGAGGGGCAUGCCUGUUUGAGUAUCAUGAACACCUCAACUCUCAUGGUUCGCCGUGAUGAGCUUGGACUUUGGGGGUUUUGCUGGCCUACGGUCAGCUCCUCUCAAACAAAUCAGCCUGCCAGUGUUUGGUGGCAUCACAGGUGUGAUAACUAUCUACGCUUGUGGUUGCCCACCAGGUAACCUUCAGCAAUGGAGGAUCGCUGGAGCUUAUAAAUGUCUUUCCUCAGUGAAGACAGCUUUUUGAA